GCUAAUACAUGCAAGUCGAGCGCGGGAAGCAGGCAGAUCCUCUUCGGAGGUGACGCCUGUGGAACGAGCGGCGGACGGGUGAGUAACACGUGGGCAACCUGCCUGUAAGAUUGGGAUAACCCCGGGAAACCGGGGCUAAUACCGGAUAAUACUUUUCGUUGCAUAACGAGAAGUUGAAAGGCGGCUUUUAGCUGUCACUUACAGAUGGGCCCGCGGCGCAUUAGCUAGUUGGUAAGGUAACGGCUUACCAAGGCGACGAUGCGUAGCCGACCUGAGAGGGUGAUCGGCCACACUGGGACUGAGACACGGCCCAGACUCCUACGGGAGGCAGCAGUAGGGAAUCUUCCGCAAUGGACGAAAGUCUGACGGAGCAACGCCGCGUGAGUGAUGAAGGUUUUCGGAUCGUAAAACUCUGUUGUCAGGGAAGAACAAGUGCCGUUCAAAUAGGGCGGCACCUUGACGGUACCUGACCAGAAAGCCCCGGCUAACUACGUGCCAGCAGCCGCGGUAAUACGUAGGGGGCAAGCGUUGUCCGGAAUUAUUGGGCGUAAAGCGCGCGCAGGCGGUCCUUUAAGUCUGAUGUGAAAGCCCACGGCUUAACCGUGGAGGGCCAUUGGAAACUGGAGGACUUGAGUACAGAAGAGGAGAGUGGAAUUCCACGUGUAGCGGUGAAAUGCGUAGAGAUGUGGAGGAACACCAGUGGCGAAGGCGACUCUCUGGUCUGUAACUGACGCUGAGGUGCGAAAGCGUGGGGAGCGAACAGGAUUAGAUACCCUGGUAGUCCACGCCGUAAACGAUGAGUGCUAGGUGUUAGGGGGUUUCCGCCCCUUAGUGCUGAAGUUAACGCAUUAAGCACUCCGCCUGGGGAGUACGGCCGCAAGGCUGAAACUCAGAAGAAUUGACGGGGGCCCGCACAAGCGGUGGAGCAUGUGGUUUAAUUCGAAGCAACGCGAAGAACCUUACCAGGUCUUGACAUCCUCUGCCAAUCCUA
rnacentral:rRNA from 1 species